CUAAGAAUAUUCCGCAAUGGACGGAAGUCUGACGGAGCGACGCCGCGUGGAUGAAGAAGGCCGAAAGGUUGUAAAGUUCUUUUGCUGGGGAAGAAUAACCGCAGGAGGGAAUGCCUGUGGGAUGACAAGAACCGGCGAAUAAGCCCCGGCCAACUACGUGCCAGCAGCCGCGGUAACACGUAGGGGGCGAGCGUUGUUCGGAAUUACUGGGCGUAAAGGGCAUGUAGGCGGCUUGGAAAGCCUGGCGUGAAAGUCUGCAGCUUAACUGCAGGGGUGCGCUGGGAACUGCUGAGCUUGAGUGACGGAGAGGGAGCUGGAAUUCCUGGUGUAGGGGUGAAAUCUGUAGAUAUCAGGAAGAACACCGAUGGCGAAGGCAAGCUCCUGGCCGAUGACUGACGCUGAGGUGCGAAAGUGCGGGGGAUCAAACAGGAUUAGAUACCCUGGUAGUCCACACAGUCAACGAUGUGCACUAGGUGCUGGGGCGGUAGCUUCGGUGCCGGAGCGAACGUGGUAAGUGCACCGCCU
rnacentral:rRNA from 1 species